GGAAUAUUGGACAAUGGGCGAAAGCCUGAUCCAGCACUGCCGCGUGAGUGAUGAAGGCCUUAGGGUUGUAAAGCUCUUUUACCAGGGAUGAUAAUGACAGUACCUGGAGAAUAAGCUCCGGCUAACUCCGUGCCAGCAGCCGCGGUAAUACGGAGGGAGUUAGCGGUGUUCGGAAUUACUGGGCGUAAAGCGUACGUAGGCGGUUAUUCAAGGCAGAGGUGAAAGCCUGGAGCUCAACUCCAGAACUGCCUUUGAAACUAGAUAGCUAGAGUCUUGGAGAGGUUAGUGGAAUUCCGAGUGUAGAGGUGAAAUUCGUAGAUAUUCGGAAGAACACCAGUGGCGAAGGCGACUAACUGGACAAGUAUUGACGCUGAGGUACGAAAGCGUGGGGAGCAAAC
rnacentral:rRNA from 1 species